GACGUAGGGGGCAAGCGUUGUCCGGAAUCAUUGGGCGUAAAGCGCGUGUAGGCGGCUUCGUCAGUCCGUUGUGAAAGUCCAGGGCUCAACCCUGGAAUGCCGAUGGAUACUGCGGAGCUAGAGUCCGGAAGAGGCGAGUGGAAUUCCUGGUGUAGCGGUGAAAUGCGCAGAUAUCAGGAGGAACACCAAUGGCGAAGGCAGCUCGCUGGGACGGCACUGACGCUGAGACGCGAAAGCGUGGGGAGCAAACAGGG
rnacentral:rRNA from 1 species